GACGUAGGGGGCCAGCGUUGUCCGGAUUUACUGGGCGUAAAGAGCGCGCAGGCGGUCGUUCAAGUCGAGUGUGAAAGCCCCCGGCUCAACUGGGGAGGGUCAUUCGAUACUGAUCGACUGGAAGGCAGGAGAGGGAAGCGGAAUUCCCGGUGUAGUGGUGAAAUGCGUAGAUAUCGGGAGGAACACCAGUGGCGAAGGCGGCUUCCUGGCCUGUUCUUGACGCUGAGGCGCGAAAGCUAGGGGAGCAAACGGGG
rnacentral:rRNA from 1 species